UACGUAGGGGGCAAGCGUUGUCCGGAUUUAUUGGGCGUAAAGAGCGUGUAGGCGGCCAAACAGGUCAGCUGUGAAAACUCGAGGCUCAACCUCGAGACGUCGGUUGAAACCGUACGGCUAGAGUCCGGAAGAGGAGAGUGGAAUUCCCGGUGUAGCGGUGAAAUGCGCAGAUAUCGGGAAGAACACCCGUGGCGAAGGCGGCUCUCUGGGACGGUACUGACGCUGAGACGCGAAAGCGUGGGGAGCGAACAGG
rnacentral:rRNA from 1 species